rnacentral:rRNA from 1 species
AGGACGAACGCUGGCGGCGUGCUUAACACAUGCAAGUCGAACGAUGAAGCCCUUCGGGGUGGAUUAGUGGCGAACGGGUGAGUAACACGUGGGCAAUCUGCCCUUCACUCUGGGACAAGCCCUGGAAACGGGGUCUAAUACCGGAUAACACUCUGUCCCGCAUGGGACGGGGUUAAAAGCUCCGGCGGUGAAGGAUGAGCCCGCGGCCUAUCAGCUUGUUGGUGGGGUAAUGGCCUACCAAGGCGACGACGGGUA